rnacentral:rRNA from 1 species
CCUACGGGAGGCAGCAGUGGGGAAUAUUGCACAAUGGGGGAAACCCUGAUGCAGCGACGCCGCGUGAGCGAGGAAGUCUUUCGGUAUGUAAAGCUCUAUCAGCAGGGACGAAGAAAGCCGGUCCCUGACUAAGCAGCCCCGGCUAACUACGUGCCAGCAGCCGGGGUAAUUCGUAGGCGGCAAGCGUGAACCGGAUUUACUGGGUGUAAAGGGAGGGUAGACGGGAAGGCAAGCCAGAAGUGAAAGGGUAGGGCCCAACCCGGUACAUGCUGUUGGAACUGGGGGGCUAGAGUGCAGGAGAGGUAAGUGGAAUGCGUAGUGUAGCGGUGAAAUGCGUAGAUAUUAGGAAGAACCCCAGUGGCGAAGGCGGCUUACUGGACUGUAACUGACGUUGAGGCUCGAAAGCGUGGGGAGCGAACAGGAUUAGAUACCCUAGUAGUC